UACGUAGGGUGCGAGCGUUAAUCGGAAUUACUGGGCGUAAAGUGUGCGCAGGCGGCCGAGCAAGUCGAGUGUGAAAGCCCCGAGCUUAACUUGGGAACUGCGCUCGAAACUACUUGGCUAGAGUGUGGCAGAGGGAGGUGGAAUUCCACGUGUAGCGGUGAAAUGCGUAGAUAUCUGGAGGAACACCGGUGGCGAAGGCGGCAUCCUGGACCAUUACUGACACUGAAAAGCGAAAGCCAGGGGAGCAAACGGG
rnacentral:rRNA from 1 species